rnacentral:rRNA from 1 species
GACGAACGCUGGCGGCGUGCCUAAUACAUGCAAGUUGAGCGCUGAAGGUUGGUACUUGUACCAACUGGAUGAGCAGCGAACGGGUGAGUAACGCGUGGGGAAUCUGCCUUUGAGCGGGGGACAACAUUUGGAAACGAAUGCUAAUACCGCAUAAAAACUUUAAACACAAGUUUUAAGUUUGAAAGAUGCAAUUGCAUCACUCAAAGAUGAUCCCGCGUUGUAUUAGCUAGUUGGUGAGGUAAAGGCUCACCAAGGCGAUGAUACAUAGCCGACCUGAGAGGGUGAUCGGACACAUUGGGACUGAGACACGGCCCAAACUCCUACGGGAGGCAGCAGUAGGGAAUCUUCGGCAAUGGACGAAAGUCUGACCGAGCAACGCCGCGUGAGUGAAGAAGGUUUUCGGAUCGUAAAACUCUGUUGGUAGAGAAGAACGUUGGUGAGAGUGGAAAGCUCAUCAAGUGACGGUAACUACCCAGAAAGGGACGGCUAACUACAUG